UACGUAGGGUGCGAGCGUUGUCCGGAAUUAUUGGGCGUAAAGGGCUCGUAGGCGGUUUGUCGCGUCGGGAGUGAAAUCCACUGGCUUAACUGGUGGCUUGCUUUCGAUACGGGCAGACUGGAGGUAUGCAGGGGGAGAACGGAAUUCCUGGUGUAGCGGUGAAAUGCGCAGAUAUCAGGAGGAACACCGGUGGCGAAGGCGCCUUGCUGGCCGAUUUCUGACGCUGAGGCGCGAAAGCGUGGGGAGCAAACAGG
rnacentral:rRNA from 1 species